rnacentral:ncRNA from 1 species
UUUAUUUAUAUGAUAUAUAAAAAUUCAUUCAUAUAAUUAUAUAAUAAUAAUAUUUUAUUAUUAUUAUUAUUAAUUAGUUUUUAUAUUUUUUUUGCCUCAAUUAUGUAUGAGUACCCGCUGAACUUAAGCAUAUCGUUAAGCGGAGGAAAAGAAACUAAAUAGGAUUUCCGUAGUAACUGCGAGUGAACUGGAAUUAGCCCAUCACGAAAUCUAUAUUACAUUCGUAAUAUCGAAAUGUCGUGUAUAGGUUUUAUUAUUAUUGAUAUAAUAUUAUUAAAUAAUUGUAUUUAAAUAUACAGCCACAGAAGGUGCCAGCCCUGUUGUUUAAUAAUAUUUAUCAAAUUUAUAAAACUUUAGAGUCGUGUUGCUUGGAAGUGCAGCGCAAAGUUGGUGAUAAACAUCAUCUAAGGCUAAAUAUUCCUAUGAAUCCGAUAGCGAACAAGUACUGUGAAGGAAAAUUGCAAAGUACUCCGGAGAGAGAGUUAAAGAGGACGUGAAACCGAUACGAUGGAAGCAUACAGAGCCAGUUGCACUAUUAUUAAUAUUUAUUAAUAAUUUUAAGCAUGGGUAUAUUGAUAUGAUAAUUAGUUAUUUAUUAAAGAGUGAUAAAAAUAUUUUAUUUUUGUUAACUUUAAUAAAAUAAUUAUAUUAUUAAUUAAUAUUUAUAUUAUCAAUUUAUUAAUAAUAUAAUAUUUUAUUAAUAUUAUAUAAGACACAUGUGUUAAAUAUAAUUUAUUAAUAAUUAUUAUAUUAUUAUAUAUUGAUAUUCCUAUGUAAUCCUGGUAUGCUGUAUGUCCCGUCUUGAAACACGGACCAAGGAGUGUAUUGCUAUGGCAAGUCAUUGAUAUUGUUAAUAUCAAAGGCGUAAUGAAAAUAAUUUUAAUCUCUGAUCUUUUGAUUUUAUUAUCAUUAGCGCAUGAGAAACGUAAAUAUAUGAUAUAAUCAUUUUUUGCAGUUAUAGCCAUAGUAGUGCGACCCGAAAGAUGGUGAACUAUACUAGUGCAGGGUGAAGUCAGAAGAAAUUCUGAUGGAAGCUCGAAGCGGUCCUGACGUGCAAAUCGGUCGUCUGACAUUAGUAUAGGGGCGAAAGACUAAUCGAACCAUCUAGUAGCUGGUUCCGGCCGAAGUUUCCCCCAGGAUAGCUGAAACUGAUAUACAGAUACAUCCGGUAAAGCUAAUGUUUAGAGGAAUAGGGAAUAAUAUAUUCUUUAUCUAUUUACAAACUAUAAAUGGGUGUGAUAUUAUGAUUGCUUAAUUGAAUCAUAAUUUCGAUUGUAUAGUUUCAAGUGGGCCAUUUUUGGUAAGCAGAACUGGCGACGUGGGAUGAACCAAAAGUAUUGUUAAAGUGCCUAAAUUUUUGCUCAUCAGACCCCAUAAAAAGUGUUGUUUGAUCCUGACAGCAGGGCGGUGGCCAUGGAAGUCGGAAUCCGCUAAGGAUCGUGUAACAACUCACCUGCCGAAUCAAGCAGCCUUGAAAAUGGAUGGCGCUUGAGCAAAAUACUUAGACAAUACCAUAUAUUUAUUUUUUUUUAAAAAAAAUAUAUGUGUAGGCUGGCGUGAUAAUAGCAUUGAAGGUUAUAAGCGUAAGCUUGACUGGAGCUGUUAUUAGUGCAGAUCUUGGUGAUAGUAGCAAAUACACAAGUGAGAAUCUUGUGGACCGAAGUGGAAAAGGGUUUCACGUCAACAUCAUUUGACUGUGAGUUAGUCGGUCCUAAGCUAAAAUUGAAAAAUUUUUAUUCAUAUAUAGCGAAAGGGAAAUAGAUUAAUAUUUCUAUACUAUCUAUGGAGAUAAUAUAGGAUAAUAACUAUAUUAUGCAUGGUAACAUAAAUGAAAUUAACUACAAUAUAACAAGUUUUGGGUAGAGAUAUCUUCUCUAUUUAAGUUAUUAAAUCUAUGGAAAUUGCUCAGCAAGAGAUAUAGAUGAAAUUUUAACGUAGAGUACUAACAUUUUGUUGGUAUCCAAAGUGCUUGUUAUAUUACUUAAAAAGUUAAUGGAAGCAUAAUAAAUUUCAUAGAAUAACCGUACCCAUAUCCGCAACAGGUUUCCAAGAUGUUUAGUCUCUGGUCGAUGAAAUAAUGUAGGUAAGGGAAGUCGGCAAAAUAGAUUCGUAACUUUGGGAAAAGAAUUGGCUCUUGAGAUGUAGAUAUUCGGGUAUCAUGUAUUCAAUGGUUAUUUAAUUAAUAUAAAAUGAAUACUAGUAAUAGUUAUUUGAUUUAUAUUUAUUGAUAAUCAUUAACAUAAUACUUACAAAUAUUUGAAAUAUAAUAUUUUAACGAAUAUCAUUUUAUAUACAUUAAUCAAGAACUGGCACGGACAAGAGGAAUCCGACUGUCUAAUUAAAACAGAGGAGACAGAUGAUGCUAGAUGCAUGUAGACUGUGUCUGAUUUCUGCCCAGUGCAAUGAAUGUUAUCAUUGGGAAACCAAUUGAAGCUCUUGUAAACGGCGGGAGUAACUAUGACUCUCUUGGUUUAUAAAACCCAGUUUGAGGUUUUCUAAUUUUAGGACAAAGCCGACCGAAGGCACUACUAGUGGAUCUAAGUUGAAAGACUAAAACUAGUAGCGACCUUGUCUUAAGAUAAGCCUC